rnacentral:rRNA from 1 species
AGUCUGACGGAGCAACGCCGCGUGAGUGAUGAAGGUUUUCGGAUCGUAAAGCUCUGUUGCCAGGGAAGAACGUCUUGGAGAGUAACUGCUCUAAGAGUGACGGUACCUGAGAAGAAAGCCCCGGCUAACUACGUGCCAGCAGCCGCGGUAAUACGUAGGGGGCAAGCGUUGUCCGGAAUUAUUGGGCGUAAAGCGCGCGCAGGCGGCCAUUUAAGUCUGGUGUUUAAUCCCGGGGCUCAACUCCGGGUCGCACUGGAAACUGGGUGGCUUGAGUGCAGAAGAGGAGAGUGGAAUUCCACGUGUAGCGGUGAAAUGCGUAGAGAUGUGGAGGAACACCAGUGGCGAAGGCGACUCUCUGGGCUGUAACUGACGCUGAGGCGCGAAAGCGUGGGUAGCAAACAGGAUUAGAUACCCUGGUAGUCCACGCCGUAAACGAUGAAUGCUAGGUGUUAGGGGUUUCGAUACCCUUGGUGCCGAAGUAAACACAUUAAGCAUUCCGCCUGG